UACGAGGGGGGCGAGCGUUGUUCGGAAUUAUUGGGCGUAAAGGGUGCGUAGGCGGUUUUGUAAGUCUUAUGUGAAAUCUAUGGGCUCAACUCAUAGACUGCAUGAGAAACUGCAGGGCUUGAGUAUGGGAGAGGUGAGUGGAAUUCUUGGUGUAGCGGUGAAAUGCGUAGAUAUCAAGAGGAACACCUGAGGUGAAGACGGGUUGCUGGGCCGACACUGACGCUGAGUGCGCGAAAGCCAGGGGAGCAAACGGG
rnacentral:rRNA from 1 species